CAGUCGCCGCGGGAAUACGCAGGUGGCAAGCGUUGUCCGGAAUUAUUGGGCGUAAAGGGCUCGCAGGCGGUUUCUUAAGUCUGAUGUGAAAGCCCCCGGCUCAACCGGGGAGGGUCAUUGGAAACUGGGAAACUUGAGUGCAGAAGAGGAGAGUGGAAUUCCACGUGUAGCGGUGAAAUGCGUAGAGAUGUGGAGGAACACCAGUGGCGAAGGCGACUCUCUGGUCUGUAACUGACGCUGAGGAGCGAAAGCGUGGGGAGCGAACAGGAUUAGAUACCCCUGUAGUCCCUGUCUCUUAUAA
rnacentral:rRNA from 1 species